UACGUAGGGUCCGAGCGUUGUCCGGAAUUACUGGGCGUAAAGAGCUCGUAGGUGGUUUGUCGCGUUGUUCGUGAAAACUCACAGCUCAACUGUGGGCGUGCGGGCGAUACGGGCAGACUAGAGUACUGCAGGGGAGACUGGAAUUCCUGGUGUAGCGGUGAAAUGCGCAGAUAUCAGGAGGAACACCGGUGGCGAAGGCGGGUCUCUGGGCAACAACGUGACGCUGGAGGAGCGAAAGCGUGGGGAGCGAACAGG
rnacentral:rRNA from 1 species